UACGUAGGGUGCAAGCGUUGUCCGGAAUUAUUGGGCGUAAAGAGCUCGUAGGCGGUCUGUCACGUCGGCUGUGAAAUCCCGAGGCUCAACCUCGGGUCUGCAGUCGAUACGGGCAAACUAGAGUAUUGCAGGGGAGACUGGAAUUCCUGGUGUAGCGGUGAAAUGCGCAGAUAUCAGGAGGAACACCGGUGGCGAAGGCGGGUCUCUGGGCAGUGACUGACGCUGAGACGCGAAAGCGUGGGGAGCAAACAGG
rnacentral:rRNA from 1 species